rnacentral:rRNA from 1 species
CUGGCUCAGGAUGAACGCUAGCUACAGGCUAACACAUGCAAGUCGAGGGGCAGCAUGAAGGUUGCUUGCAACUUUGAUGGCGACCGGCGCACGGGUGAGUAACGCGUAUCCAACCUGGCCCUUAGUAGGGGAUAGCCCGGCGAAAGUCGGAUUAAUACCCUAUGUUUUCCACUGCGGACAUCUAAAAUGGAACAAAGAUUUAUCGCUAAGGGAUGGGGAUGCGUCUGAUUAGCUUGUCGGCGGGGUAACGGCCCACCGAGGCUACGAUCAGUAGGGGUUCUGAGAGGAAGGUCCCCCACAUUGGUACUGAGACACGGACCAAACUCCUACGGGAGGCAGCAGUGAGGAAUAUUGGUCAAUGGGCGCGAGCCUGAACCAGCCAAGUAGCCGUGCAGGAUGACUGCCCUAUGGGUUGUAAACUGCUUUUAUAGGGGAAUAAAGUGGCGUACGUGUACGUUUUUGUAUGUACCCUAUGAAUAAGGACCGGCUAAUUCCGUGCCAGCCGCUGC